UUUCCGUAGGUGAACCUGCGGAAGGAUCAUUAAAGAGAUCAUGCCCUCACGGGUAGACCUCCCACCCUUUGUUUACGAUACCUUUGUUGCUUUGGCGGGCCCGUUUGGCCCCGCGCUGAACAACCGGCCCCGGCUGGUCAGUGCCCGCCAGAGAACCGAAAACUCUGAAUUAAAUGUCGUCUGAGUACUAUGUAAUAGUUAAAACUUUCAACAACGGAUCUCUUGGUUCUG
rnacentral:misc_RNA from 1 species